UACGUAGGUGGCAAGCGUUGUCCGGAAUUAUUAGGCGUAAAGCGCGCGCAGGUGGUUUCUUAAGUCUGAUGUGAAAGCCCACGGCUCAACCGUGGAGGGUCAUUGGAAACUGGGGAACUUGAGUGCAGGAGAGAAGAGUGGAAUUCCACGUGUAGCGGUGAAAUGCGUAGAGAUGUGGAGGAACACCAGUGGCGAAGGCGACUCUUUGGCCUGUAACUGACACUGAGGCGCGAAAGCGUGGGGAGCAAACAGG
rnacentral:rRNA from 1 species